UACGGGGGGGGCUAGCGUUGUUCGGAAUUACUGGGCGUAAAGGGCGCGUAGGCGGGCUGUCAAGUCUGGGGUGAAAUGCCGCGGCUCAACCGUGGAACUGCCUUAGAUACUGACGGCCUCGAGGAAGGUAGGGGCAUGCGGAACUGUAGGUGGAGCGGUGAAAUGCGUUGAUAUCUACAGGAACUCCGGUGGCGAAAGCGGCGUGCUGGACCUUUUCUGACGCUGAGGCGCGAAAGCUAGGGGAGCAAACGGG
rnacentral:rRNA from 1 species